CCUACGGGUGGCAGCAGUGGGGAAUAUUGCACAAUGGGGGAAACCCUGAUGCAGCGACGCCGCGUGAGUGCAGAAGUAUUUCGGUAUGUAAAGCUCUAUCAGCAGGGUAGAAAAUGACGGUACCUGAUUAAGAAGCCCCGGCUAACUACGUGCCAGCAGCCGCGGUAAUACGUAGGGAGCAAGCGUUGUUCGGAAUGACUGGGCGUAAAGGGUGCGUAGGCGGUUAUACAAGUUAGAAGAGAAAUACCGCGGGCUUAACUAGGGUGGUGCUUCUAAAACUGUAAAACUUGAGUGAAGUAGAGGUUAGUGGAAUGCCUAGGGUAGCGGUGGAAUGCGUAGAUAUUAGGAGGAACACCAGAGGCGAGGGCGGCUAACUGGACUGCAACUGACGCUGAGGCACGAAAGUGUGGGGAGCAAACAGGAUUAGAUACCCGAGUAGUA
rnacentral:rRNA from 1 species